GUACCCAUCAGCGCCCAAGGCCUUGCUCACCUUCUCCAGGCACUAGAACCUGCUGGGCUUGAGAGAGGUAAAGUAGAGAGAUUACAGUUGAUGGACAGAGCAUUAAAAUAUUUUAACAGCCAUCUUAUCUUUCAUUUAGAAAAAAUUAUGACUACUUUCAGUUUGCAUAAACAUAUAGUGAAUACUCUCUAUUAAGUUGUCUACCUGGUUUAUUUUAUUUUUAGAUAUUCUGAAAUAAAGCAAAUUUUACGCAUUGCAAUAGGGGACAAAAACUAUUUUAAAUAAUAUCUUUUUUCAGAAAGUUAACUGCUGCAGUUCUUUGAAAGAAGAUAUUACAAG
rnacentral:lncRNA from 1 species